AUGUCGCUCCCUAAAUCUCAAGGCGGUAUUGGUUUCCGUGAUAUGCGAGCCUACAAUCAAGCAUUGUUAGCCAAACAAGCCUGGAGGCUCCUCACUUCUCCAGAUUCGUUAUGUGCUAGACUUCUUCGUGCCAAGUACUUUCCUAACGGGGCCUGGUGGAUACCGUUUUCCCGGCAAACAGUUCUGCGGUGUGGAAGGGCAUCGAGCAUGGUUUGGACCUAG
rnacentral:rRNA from 1 species